rnacentral:rRNA from 1 species
UGGGGAAUCUUGCGCAAUGGGCGAAAGCCUGACGCAGCGACGCCGCGUGAGCGAUGAAGGCCUUCGGGUUGUAAAGCUCUGUGGGGAGGAAAGAAUAAGGGUUGGCUAAUAUCCAGCUCGAUGACGGUACCUCCUUAGCAAGCACCGGCUAAAUCUGUGCCAGCAGCCGCGGUAAGACAGAGGGUGCAAACGUUGUUCGGAAUUACUGGGCGUAAAGCGCGUGUAGGCGGCUCUGCAAGUCAGGUGUGAAAUCCCACGGCUCAACCAUGGAAGUGCACUUGAAACUGCAGGGCUAGAGUCCUGGAGAGGAAGGUGGAAUGCUUGGUGUAGAGGUGAAAUUCGUAGAUAUCAAGCGGAACACCGGUGGCGAAGGCGGCCUUCUGGACAGUGACUGACGCUGAGACGCGAAAGCGUGGGGAGCAAA